UGUGUUUACGUCAUGUUGCCAGCUGUCAUGUUGGUUAAGACAUGUUACUUACGUCGUUGUGAUGACUGAAGUGGCACUUAGGUCAAACAAAUACGUCUUGCAAAAACAGCAGCUGUUUCCCAUGCAAAUAUAGUGCCACAGGCAAAUUUUAGCACACAGGAACUAGAUUAGGAGCAGAAAUGUUGCGAAAUUGGCGUCGUCAUUGGAAAAGGAUGUGUGAUUAUGAUCAAGAAGAUUCACGACGGCCGAGAUCCCUCAUCAACCUGGCACUCACUGAAUCACAUCGAAUCAUUUCCGUUCCGAGUCGGACAGCAUACUACGUAGGAGGAAGUAUACAGCAGGAACGUCAUGUGCCUAAAGCUGCGCAUGUUGCGGUCAGAAAUAAAACAUCAAAGCGAGGUUACAACGCAGCCGUAGGAGUUGGUAUAAGUACAUAGCUCGAGUCUAGGCUCGAGUACCCGUAUGUGGAAAAUACGUGGGUAUUCAUCAAGACCACGGUGAAAGUGACGGCUCCAAUCUCUGCUAGUCUGGGAUGUUUUCGUAAUGGAAAUGGUUUUGACUUCUCGAACAAAACGAUACAAAUUAGGAAUACAAAAAUUGACAAUGCAAGCUCUCAAUUUAAUAACUGUGUAAGUGCUCACAGAAAACAACUAUACUGCCGUGAAUCGCAUAUCAGUCCCAUCUUUGCUGGAUUUCCUAUGCAAAUGGGACAGAUAUGCGAUUCACGGCAGUAUAUGUAGGUACAGUCCGGAUUCGCUGGUUGGGUCACGACUGCACCCCGAUUAGCGAAUCGUGUUCGUUCGUUGGGGCAACUGACAACUGAUCAAAAUGCUCUAGACACACGCAAGUGACGAGAAAUACGUCACGGAACACUCACAUACUUGCGUAAACGUUCUGUAUACAGGAGCUGUGAUGCGACGGCGGUCAGACGUCAAACUCGUUUUGACAUCUAUUUUGACAUUGACAGUGCUUUUUAGUUGGGUUUUGCCCCAACCAGUGAACAUUCAACCAUCGAGACAGCCCAUCUAACGAGCUCUCAACGAACGAAUCGUCACUGUA